rnacentral:rRNA from 1 species
GACGAACGCUGGCGGCGUGCCUAAUACAUGCAAGUUGAGCGAUGAAGAUUGGUGCUUGCACCAAUUUGAAGAGCAGCGAACGGGUGAGUAACGCGUGGGGAAUCUGCCUUUGAGCGGGGGACAACAUUUGGAAACGAAUGCUAAUACCGCAUAACAACUUUAAACAUAAGUUUUAAGUUUGAAAGAUGCAAUUGCAUCACUCAAAGAUGAUCCCGCGUUGUAUUAGCUAGUUGGUGAGGUAAAGGCUCACCAAGGCGAUGAUACAUAGCCGACCUGAGAGGGUGAUCGGCCACAUUGGGACUGAGACACGGCCCAAGCUCCUACGGGAGGCAGCAGUAGGGAAUCUUCGGCAAUGGACGAAAGUCUGACCGAGCAACGCCGCGUGAGUGAAGAAGGUUUUCGGAUCGUAAAACUCUGUUGGUAGAGAAGAACGUUGGUGAGAGUGGAAAGCUCAUCAAGUGACGGUAUCUACCCAGAAAGGGACGGCUAACUACGUG